UUACAGCACGUAUACGUAUUGUAAAAGUAACGAGAAUUCAACUACACAGAUUAAACAACGCCCUGUGAUAACAUAGGAAUCCUUGUUUCAAAUUACGUUAUAGCGCAGUUCGGCUUUUCCUUCCUAAUAUAGUGUGCGGUUCAUGCGGUCGCGAGCUGUAAUGGCCUCACUGGACUUCGUUUCAUCAAAUUCAAAAUUCUCUAUUAAAUUUACGAUGAUAUAAAUCACGUUUGACGUCAAAAAUGUUCUUAAAACCAAGUCUACUGCCGACUUCCAAAGCACAAGUGAAGAAGAAGAGGCGCAACAAACUUCACCGCAGCGUUUAAACCUUCUACUGGAGAAUACUAACCUCUGGGACUGCUUCUCUCCAACACCGCAAGAGUUGCGCUGGGCGUUAGCAGCUGCUUGGCUCGCUUGGCCUUCCUCUCCUGGCACUCGUCUAGGGACUCCAUCUUCUGGAACCUUCGCUGGUGAAGGGCUGCGAAGUUCGGCAGCUUGGUGCGGGAUACUUUGGAUUCUGAUUUGGACUUCGACGGCGUGGGGAUGCGCUUGGGUGGCGUUGUUGGUUCGUUGGGUUUCGCUGCGCAGAGAAGCUUGUUAUCGAUGUUGAUGUAAGAACGAUCCUCGAAUCCGUUCGUGUCUAUAGAAUCUGAUGAUGACACAUAUUAAAAUAAUAGCUUUUGCCCACAGCUUCGCCCGC